rnacentral:rRNA from 1 species
GACGAACGCNGGCGGCGUGCUUAACACAUGCAAGUCGAACGGGCCUGUCCCUGGUCUUUUGGUUGGGGGUGGGUUAGUGGCGAACGGGUGAGUAACACGUGAGUAACCUGCCCCUCACUUCUGGAUAACCGCUUGAAAGGGUGGCUAAUACGGGGUGUUCUGGCUGUGCCGCAUGGUGUGGUUGGGAAAGAUUCACUAUUUGUUUGGUGUUUUGGUGGGGGAUGGGCUCGCGGCCUAUCAGCUUGUUGGUGGGGUGAUGGCCUGCCAAGGCUUUGACGGGUAGCCGGCCUGAGAGGGUGGGCGGUCACACUGGGACUGAGACACGGCCCAGACUCCUGCGGGAGGCAGCAGUGGGGGAUAUUGCACAAUGGGCGGAAGCCUGAUGCAGCGACGUCGCGUGAGGGAUGGAGGCCUUCGGGUUGUGAACCUCUUUCGCCGGUGAAGAAGGUCCUGCUUUUUGGGUGGGGUGACGGUAGCCGG